rnacentral:rRNA from 1 species
CCUGAACGCUGGCGGCGUGGCUAAGACAUGCAAGUCGAACGGGUGCAGCAAUGCACCAGUGGCGCACGGGUGAGUAAUGUAUCGCUAACGUGCCCUGGAGCCUGGGAUAGCUGUCCGAAAGGGCAGGUAAUACCGGAUGAGACCACGGAGAGGCAUCUCUCUGUGCUCAAAGCCGCAAGGCACUCUGGGGAGCGGGCGAUAUCGUAUCAGCUAGUUGGCGGGGUAACGGCCCACCAAGGCUGCGACGCGUAGCUGGUCUGAGAGGACGGCCAGCCACAUCGGGACUGAGACACUGCCCGGACUCCUACGGGGGGCUGCAGUAACGAAUCUUCCGCAAUGCACGAAAGUGUGACGGAGCGACGCCGCGUGGAGGACGAAGUCCUCGGAGUGU